CAGAGCCCCUUGCAUGACAAUUGGAUGUUGCUGGCACGGACCGUAGCCCCCUGGAUUCAUGUAAAGGCUGGUUGGGUGGAUGCAGAUACAUGAAGAGUUUUUAAAGCAGCACCAUCCCUCCAGUCAUUUGACAGUCCAGUCCAUACCUCUUAGCCCUCUAGCCUUGAGAGAGCUGCUCCAUGCCUGAUAUGCCAUGUGUGGUGUUACUAUGGUGACCAGUGGUUGAAAGUAGAGCACCCCCCCCCCCCCCCUCCUCCCCCAAGCAUUCCAGGUGAAAUAAGCUUGUUGUGUCAUCAUCUCAAUUGUCUGGUUUAACUUUAACCAGGAUCAGUCAUUGCUCUUGUAUAUCGUCUCAGGGUGCCAAGUGUUUUAUUUCUCAAUUUCUGAAUUUGAAGCAGAUGUUUGUAACUUUUAGCUGGUUUUUAUGUUUGCUUUGAUGUUUUUGGCUUUGCUAUGGGUGUGUGAAAGUAUAGCUUUAAACUCUGGUUUUAUAUUCCCGAAGCUUAUUUCUACCAAUGCAAAUACUGUGUAAUGAGCUUGGCCCAAUACAGAUCAACCCCAUCAAGAGACUGCAGAGAGUACACAAUACAUUGGAGUACAAAUAUGAAUUAUGUUUUGGUAAUACAUUUCAUUAUUGGUUGGAUUUCUCUCAAGUUCUUUACCUCUGCAGUUUUUUUACAAGCCAAACACACAACAACAACAAAAAUCCAUGUAAUUUGAUUUGUUAACUGGCUUUGGUUAUUAGUUGGUGGAUAUUUUCUUGUUUAGUUUAACUUUUGUUUGUUUUAGUUUUUCUGUGCUGCUUCUCUGGGGAAAAAAAACUGUCUCUCCAACUCCAAAGGUUGUUGUUUUGAAAAGACCAACAAAACUUGCCUUUUUCACAAAUUGCUCAACUUUAUAAUACAGUAUACUGGUAUCCUGAUUACAUGCACAGGCCGAGACCAUUUUAGGAGUAAAAGAAAAGUUAAAUAUGUUUACAAAAAAGUUGUGUUUAUUCAAUUUGCCAUGUAUAUAGAAAUUGGUGGCUUACAAUUGGACUGAUGGUUAGUGUUUUUACGUUUGUAAACAGAAAACAGUGUUUCCUCAACUUGUCUUUUCAUUCAACUGGGGAUGUUUCAGAGUUACACGGAUACAAGUGCACCUCCGAUUUUUGCCUUAGAACUUGCAGAGGCCAUAGUUCACAUUCAAGUGAAGUGAGUGUAUGCAGGGGCCUACGCCCCCCAUUUCUGAGUAACCACCAGUGCGGACGUUCUCACACUUAUCUACCUGUGAAAUCCUUUUUGUCCAUAAUUGGUCAAUGACUGUAUCAGCAAACUGCAUCAGGUGUUUUUUUUACAUGCUUUUUACACAGAUUAUAUGGAUUAUUGUAUUAGUAGAUUUUGGUGCAUCAUUUUUUUAAAUGUAAUAACUCUUAAGCUUGUAGUCACAAAGUUGUUUUUCUCUCCCGUUUUUCUAGAAGACUGUUUUGUGUUAAUAUUGUCAAUUUGAAAUAACUGCUAUUUGCUUAUUCUCUACUUACCUUGUUCAUUUUUAAAUGCUACACAACCCCUAAUGAAUUCAAAUGACUUUAACAACCAUUGUAAAUACGGUGUUGCGUAAACCCCCUUUUCAUUAAUUUCAAUUGCUAGUGUUAUAUAAAUGACAUUUUUGUCUAGACACCAUUUCUGUUUAUGAAAUAAAGAAUCAUAUCGUGUA